UGUAUAUAAAUUAUAUAUGAUCUAGAGAUUUAUCAUGUGACGAGCAGAUUUUAUGCAAAUAUUUAAAUUAAUCUUUAAUAGCAUUAUGUAAUAGUUAAUAUCUUUUAUGGGUAAUUACCCUUUUAUUGCUGGUUUGGCAGAUUAAGAUUUAUGAUGUUUUCAUAAUGUUUUCCGUCAAAAGAAAUUUAUAUUUAUGAAUUAGUUUUCAGCGGAAGGCUUUAGUAAAAAAUUCGAACCUUAGUAACCGUUUUCUUUUUGCCAAAAAGGUAGAUAUUUUUUUAUGUUAGAAGUUAUAACUUAAUUGGGCAUUGGGCAUCAAAAUAAACAUGUGAAUAUCUUGACUUGGUGUUUGUUGUCUACUUUAAGUGGUACUGAAUUUAUUAAAAUAAACGUUGUUUUCUACA